UCCCGCGUGGCACAAUUGGCUAGCGCGUGAGACUUUUAAUCUCAAGGUUACGAGUUCAAGCCUCGUCGUGGGAG
rnacentral:tRNA from 1 species